AUGAUGGGUUCUUCAUCUUGGUCUACCCCUCCGCCAGCCUUUGGGCCAGUCAAGGGCUCUUCAUCAUCAUUGUUCUCCACGCCGACCUCUGGUGCGGCCAUGGGCUCUUCUCCAUCCUUGUUUUGUUUCACGCCGGCAUCUGGUGCAGCCACGGGCUCUUCUCCAUACUCGUUUGGUGUAAUGCCGACCUCUGGUGCAGCCAUGGGCCCUCCUUCAUCCUCGUUCACGCCGGUAGCCACGGGCUUUUCUCCAUACUCGUUUGGUAUCAUGCCAGCCUCUGGUGCUGCCACGGGCCCUUCUUCAUCCUCGUUUGGUUCCACGCCGGUAGCCACGGGCUUUUUUCCAUCCUCGUCUGGUUUCACGCCAGCCUCUGGUGCUGCCAUGGGCUCCUAUUCAUCUUGGUGUGGCCCAGCAUUUGGGCGAUCCCCUAAUGCCUUCGGGCACCCCAUGCCCCAUCAGGCACCUUUUUCAUCCAACACACCAUUUGGCUCUACAACAGGCCAACAUUAUUCACAUGUUCCUACCUUUGGGGUGCAAUCUGAGCCUUCAUUUGGGCCCUUUGGCCGAGUGUCUAAAAAAGGCAGCAGGGUUUCUGCUUAUACCAGGACUCCUGGUGAUGAUCCUGAACGUAAUUACUAUGUAUCUAUUUCAGCAAUGCCAGUAUUCAAGAGCAAAUCUCAUGAGGAGCUUCGACAUGCAGAUUAUAAGAAAGGAGACAAAGGUGGUUUCAACUUACAGGAGGGCAGAGUUCCUUGGGCUUAUCAUUCCUCGCAGCCCCAGCCCCAGGCCCCAGUGAAUGCCUUCGCAAAUCCUGUCAAGCCAUCAUUGUUUUCAUACUCUCCUGAGCCAUCCUCAGCACCUGUGGGACUGCAAUCCUCAGCACAUGGUACCACCAACCCAUUUUGGCUGCGCCCUCCAGGACCCCAGUCACCAUUAUUCUCAUACCCUCCCGAGCCAAUCCACAAGCCAUCAUGGUUUUCAAGCUCAUCUUGUGCACCAUCUACUACAUGUUGGGAAAACGUAUCCAAUAACACAGCAGCAUGUACAGCUCCUGCAGAUACAUCUUCUGCUCAAGGCCAUAUGUUUAGCCAAAAUUUGUUCCCUUCAAAAUCUACUCAAUCUGGAGGAAGUUUACUCAGCUCUUCGGUCGCCCAUUCAGCACCAGCUCCAUCGCCAAACGGUCAUUCCACUACUAUAAAUAUUGAUCAAGCUGAGAAAACUGUGGAGUUGGUACUACCAGUUGACAUUACUACUGUAAGGAUUAGAUUUUCUCCAAGGAAUGAUGAUACUGGCAGUCGUGCUACAGAGGUUCAUCAUAAUGUUAAAGCUUCAGCAACACCAGUGUCUUUCUGUAUCUAUCCUGGAGAGAACCAAGAGCUAACUAUCCAAUCAGUGGAGCAGCAUGACAGGAAACCAUCUAGUUCAACAGGAUCCGCUGGGGAACAGAAAGGGUAUAUCAACGGUGCUGUCCUGGCUAGGAGUAAUCCAUUUGAUCCUGUGAUAACUCCAUUUGGUGGUGCCCCUGUGAGUGAAAGUGUGCUUCCUCGGCUCUAUAAGGCAGACUAUUACACCUCGCCGUCUAUCGCAGAGCUUGCUGCACGAGAAAGCAACGAGCCAGGUUGUUGCUCACAUGUGAAGGACUUCACGGUCGGCAGGCAUGGCUAUGGCAGCAUCAAGUUUGAUGGAGAAACUGAUGUGAGGAAGCUCGACAUCGCUUCCAUCGUAGAGUUCAAGGACCGCGAGAUCCUGGUCUACACAGAUGAGAGCAAGAGACCUCCUGUGGGGCAGGAGCUCAACAAGCCUGCAGAGAUCACCCUCCUGAAUGUGAAAUGCGUCGAUAAGAAGACCGGGUUGCAGUUGACGGAAGGUCCAGAAGUCGACAGGUAUAAGGAGAUUCUGGCGCAAUGGACCGAGAAGAAUGGCGCUGAAUUCGUGGCGUUUGAUGCCGUGAAGGGGGAGUGGAAGUUCAGGAUCAAGCACUUUUAG
rnacentral:rRNA from 1 species